UACAGAGGGGGCAAGCGUUGUUCGGAAUUACUGGGCGUAAAGAGCGUGUAGGCGGCCCGGUAAGUCCGCUGUGAAAGUCGGGGGCUCAACCCUCGGAUGCCGGUGGAUACUGUCGGGCUCGAGUACGGAAGAGGCGAGUGGAAUUCCUGGUGUAGCGGUGAAAUGCGCAGAUAUCAGGAGGAACACCUAUUGCGAAGGCAGCUCGCUGGGACGUUACUGACGCUGAGACGCGAAAGCGUGGGGAGCAAACAGG
rnacentral:rRNA from 1 species